CUGCAUGGCUGUCGUCAGCUCGUGUCGUGAGAGUGUGGGUUUAAGUCCCGCAACGAGGCGCAACCCCUGCAUCCAGUUGCCAUCGGGCGAGCCGGGCACUCUGGAGGGACUGCCGGCGACAAGCCGGAGGAAGUGGGGAUGACGUCAAGUCAUCAUGGCCCUUAUGUCCAGGGCGACACACGUGCUACAAUGGCCGGCACAGCGGGAAGCGGAGGGGCGACCCUGAGCGGAUCCCUUGAAAGCCGGUCCCAGUUCAGAUUGCAGUCUGCAACUCGACUGCAUGAAGUUGGAAUCGCUAGUAAUCGCGGAUCAGCCAAGCCGCGGUGAAUACGUUCCCGGGCCUU
rnacentral:rRNA from 1 species